GGAAGAUGCCACAUGUCAUUGUUCCAGCAGCUGCUGCGAAUGGCAGAGGAAGGCGCCGGCAUCCGUACGCAGAGGCUUUCCGACUGCCGGUCUGAGGAGUCAGCGGACGCGCACCUGCAGAGGGAACGGCGGAGAAUCACAGAGCCAGGGCGUGUGCUCCACUUUGAGUUCUCAGGCGACUGUGUGAAAUAAAUCUCAAACCUCGAGGAAAACAAAACUUUACCAGAACUAUGCCAAAUAUGAGGAAUUUUCAGUACAACCCUCUCGUUUUACAGUCCGGAAAACAGAUCCCUGGAGAGAUGAAGCGACUGGUUUAAGAUACAUGGCUUGAUUGUGGCAAAGGAGAACUUGAAAUUAG
rnacentral:lncRNA from 1 species